rnacentral:misc_RNA from 1 species
GAUGAAGAACGUAGCGAAAUGCGAUACUUGGUGUGAAUUGCAGAAUCCCGUGAACCAUCGAGUUUUUGAACGCAAGUUGCGCCCGAAGCCUUUUGGCCGAGGGCACGUCUGCCUGGGCGUCACGCAUCGCGUCGCCCCCCACAAUUCUCCGUAAAGGGAACAUGUGUUUUGGGGGCGGAUAUUGGUCUCCCGUGCUCAUGGCGUGGUUGGCCGAAAUAGGAGUCCUUUCGAUGGACGCACGAACUAGUGGUGGUCGUAAAAACCCUCGUCUUUUGUUUCGUGCUGUUGCUCGCAAGGUAAACUCUUUAAAAACCCCAAUGUGUCGUCUCUUGAUGACGCUUCGACCGCGACCCCAGGUCAGGCGGGACUACCCGCUGAGUUUAAGCAUAUCAAUAAGCGGAGGA